rnacentral:rRNA from 1 species
UGGGCGGAAGCCUGACGCAGCGACGCCGCGUGAGCGAUGAAGGCCUUCGGGUCGUAAAGCUCUGUUGGAAGUGAACGAAAAAGUCCAUGGUUAAUAUCCAUGGACCCUGACGGUACUCUUCCAGAAAGCACCGGCUAACUCCGUGCCAGCAGCCGCGGUAAUACGGAGGGUGCUAGCGUUGUUCGGAAUCAUUGGGCGUAAAGCGCGGGUAGGCGGGGCGGCGUGUCGGAUGUGAAAGCCCUCGGCUCAACCGAGGAAUUGCAUCCGAAAACUGUCGCUCUUGAGUACGGGAGAGGGAAGCGGAAUUUCCAGUGUAGAGGUGAAAUUCGUAGAUCUUGGAAGGAACACCGGUGGCGAAGGCGGCUUCCUGGACCGAUACUGACGCUGAGACGCGAAAGCGUGGGUAGCAAACAGGAUUAGAUACCCUGGUAGUCCACGCAGUNAACGAUGAGCACUAGGUGUUGCGGGUAUCGACCCCUGCAGUGCCGAAGCCAACGCAUUAAGUGCUCCGCCUGGGGACUACGGUCGCAAGACUAAAACUCAAAGGAAUUGACGGGGGCCCGCACAAGCGGUGGAGCAUGUGGUUCAAUUCGACGGCAACGGCGCAGAACCUUACCCGGGCUUGACAUCCUGGGAAUCCCCGAGGAAACCCGGGGGAGCGCCUGCUUUGCAGGAGCCCAGUGACAGGUGCUGCAUGGCUGUCGUC